rnacentral:rRNA from 1 species
UACAGAGGGUGCGAGCGUUGUUCGGAAUUAUUGGGCGUAAAGGGCGUGCAGGCGGUCUGUUAAGUCUAGGGUGAAAGCUCCCGGCUCAACUGGGAGAGGUCCUUGGAUACUGGCGGACUUGAGGGAGGCAGAGGAAAGUGGAAUUCCCGGUGUAGUGGUGAUAUGCGUAGAUAUCGGGAGGAACACCAGUGGCGAAGGCGGCUUUCUGGGCCUUACCUGACGCUGAGACGCGAAAGCGUGGGGAGCGAACCGG